rnacentral:rRNA from 1 species
GAUUAGAGUUUGAUCCUGGCUCAGAUUGAACGCUGGCGGCAUGCCUUACACAUGCAAGUCGAACGGCAGCAUGGAGGAGCUCGCUCCUCUGAUGGCGAGUGGCGAACGGGUGAGUAAAGCAUCGGAACGUACCGUGUAGUGGGGGAUAACGUAGCGAAAGUUACGCUAAUACCGCAUACGCACUGAGGUGGAAAGCAGGGGAUCGCAAGACCUUGCGCUAUACGAGCGGCCGAUGUCAGAUUAGCUAGUUGGUAGGGUAAAGGCCUACCAAGGCGACGAUCUGUAGCGAGUCUGAGAGGAUGAUCCGCUACACUGGGACUGAGACACGGCCCAGACUCCUACGGGAGGCAGCAGUGGGGAAUUUUGGACAAUGGGGGAAACCCUGAUCCAGCCAUGCCGCGUGAGUGAAGAAGGCCUUCGGGUUGUAAAGCUCUUUCGGCUGGGAAGAAAUCGCACAGGCUAAUACUCUGUGUGGAUGACGGACCAGCAAAGAAGCCCCG